AUUAAAUAUUUGGUUACGACAACAAAAUUAUAAAUAACUGUUGAAACGCUUUUAUUAAUGAAAGCUAAAAGCUUAACGACCAAUUAAAAAUUAAAAUCUACAUUAAAUGGAAAAGAUCAUCUCCUCUCUCCAACAGCUAUGCAAUACUGUUUACUUAAAAAAAAAAAAAAACAACAGUAUAAGAGUAUUAUUCAAUUAAUAUUUGUUAUAUUUUUGGUAUUUUAUUCAAUUAAUACUUGUCAAUAAAAGUACAUAAUUCUCAUAUUUUUUGUAUUCC
rnacentral:lncRNA from 1 species